UAAUCGCAUCAUACUUUCAUUUUUAUCACAUAAUAGCAUCAAAUUUUCAUUUUUAUCACGUAAGAGCAUCAAGCUUAUCGUUUUUAUCCCAUAAUAGCAUCAUACAAUCCUUUAUAAGAAAAAAAAUACAGAAUGUUAAAUUAGACUUGCAAAAAAGCUAUAAAACAGACUGUUGCUAAGCAAAUCAGCAUAAAUCGCUAGAUUAGAUUUGAAAAAUUGCUAAAAAAUACAUCUGAAAUGAAAAUCAUUUACUUCAAAUUAGAUAAAUGUAGGAAUUCCACUAAACUUGCAUUAUAGUUUUUCUUUGUAAAGAGCCCUAGAUGUGAGAAACAUACACCACUUGACCUUCUUUAUGGAUCUGAUCUUUUUCAUAAGACAUUACCUCAAAAAUUACAACAUUAUACUUCCAAAUGUAGUUACAACCUGUUAGGGUUCUCAUAUUGUAUGUUUAUCAAUCACAACAUUACCAUUUUCUAACUCUUUUCUUAUUUCUUUUAGUGCUAUAGGGAUAUCUAAAUAAGUGAAAAGAUGCAAACCAGGAACAAAAUUCUUCUCAAAAUCAUUAUAGUUACACAGACAAAGGGAAAUUUGGAGAUUUAAAAGUUAAAUUUUUUUUUGUUUUUUUCCAAUCUGUUAUGCUUCUAAAGCUAUUUAUCAUCUCGACCUUUUUGUUGCCCAAAAAUGGCACGUGUCAAAUAUCUCUCUAAUUUGCUUAUUUGAAUUGUUAAAUUUUCACUAUUUUCUCAUAGCACUUAAAUUAUCUUGUUGGCAUCAUUUAUUAAAAAAAGAACUGGAUUUACCAUAUAUCAUAUUUGUAGUUGAAGCUAUCAAUAUCCAAGCACAUAAGGGGGCAAAAAUGUCAUGAGAUUAACAUUAGAAGCAACAUUAAAAAUUAUCAGUUCAAAUUUUAAAGUAAAAAGAAAGGGAGGAUGUAUGUGAAAUUUGGGUAUAUUAAUUAAAAUAAUUACAUCAUCGUAAUGUUGGUUGGAGCCAUUAACUUUAAAAUUGAAUAUAAGCAUUUUCAAAAAAUUAUGAAGAAAAUCAUAUUAUGCCUAAAAAAACUAUAAAAAUUAAAAAUAAAUAACCAAAUUUUAUUUCAUUUAAUAAUUGAUUUAAAACAGAUAAGUAUGAGCUCGAUACAAUUCUAGCAACCUACUUUAAUUUAUUUUAAUAAUUGUUUUAAAAGAGAUAAGUAAGAUGCUAUAAGUGACAUAAAUGGGAAAAAAAGAAACAAAUUUAUAAAAGACAAAUGACUUUUUUUUUUCCAAUCAACACAUGUAUUAAUAACAUUUUUUUAAAUUACUCAAAAUUAGAAGGGAAAAGGCAUUACUUAAAAGGGAAAAAAAAGAUAUUGGCCAAAAUGCUAUUAUACCAUAGGUUUGAAACAGACACAUGUAUUUGAAUGAGCACAUUGAUUAUUUUAAAAACAAUGCACCAUGCCUAAUGUUAUCAAGAUUUGACAUGAAAGUUUGUAAAAAAUCUAUUUUAAUUUUUAAAUAGAUUGCCAUUUCAAGUACACAACAAUUUUUCUCCAUACACAACAAUUGGUGCUUUAAAAUGUUGUAUUGUACAACUAUAUAAUGCAUGAAUUGUUGUGUAUGGCAAAAAAUUAUUGUGUACGAAUCACUACCCUGUUAUGCAUCCACUAGAUCAUGUCAUUUUAGAUAAGGGUAAUUUGGGGAAAUCAACAAAUAAAGAGCAUCUUGAUUAGUACAGGGGCAUUAUGGGUAUUUUAUAUUUUUUAGUUGUUAUGACUGAUAGUAUAAGAGGGAAGUGGGAUAGGAAUUGAGAUAUCGAUCUUUUCUGUUAAACCUGGAAUUAUUUCCUCUUGGGAGAGUGGCUAUCUCGAAUCAGCUAACCUAUCCUUCGUUCUUGUAAUCUUUUGGCUAUUAUACAGUGUUUCCAAUCAAUAUUAGAAUCAUUGGGUAGUUUUUAUGUUAUUGAAUCUGUUAUUACAAAUCAGUUCAUAACAAAUGGUAUCAGAGCAUUCAUCAUCUGGGAUUAGGACUGGAGAUAAAGGAGGAGGGAAGGAUGCUGGAGGAGAUCUUCUCAAGAGGGUUGAAUCUCUAGAAACUGAAAUAAGGCAGUUGUAUGAUCGAAUGGAGAAUCAUGGGCAUCAGAUCCAACAUCAGAAUGACUCCAUAGCCUCUCUUCAGUUGAAGAUGGACCAAAAUCAGUUGAAGAUGGAUCAAAAGUUCGAGGAGAUUUUGGGUGCCAUAGCCAAAAGCCGACCAACAAUCAACAAUGAGAAGAAAACCGUGGAGGGAGAGCCUAACAACACUCUGGUUCUAUCCAUGGAGGAAACUCCAAGGGUUUACAGAGGAUCGUCGCACACUGAUACAAGAGGUUCAAGAAAUGGAACAGGAGGUGGUUCCGCUGGCAGAGGCGGCGGCUAUAUUACCGCAGGGGAAUACAGUGGAGGGACCAACCGGAGAUUUCACAAACAUGAGAUGAUCUUGUUGGUUGAAACUAACACAGAGGAGUGCAUUUUUAAUGUAGAAAGGUCAUUCUGCUCAUAUGAAGAUGAAGAAAAAAUGGAAGCUGCGGUGGGGGCUCUAGAGGGCGACGUACUAUUGUGGUAUGAACGGGAGCAUCGAAGACGACCCGUUAGAGAUUGGGAAGAGAUGAAGAGCUGGAUUCGUUGUCAGUUCCGACCACCACCGUCAUCACUUACACCGUUCCGGGAACUAGAAGCAAGGAACAAGGGAAAGAGAGAUCUAAUUUUGAACCGGGAAGGAGCGAUCGGGGAUCGUCGGAAGCUAGUGACGUCUUCUCUGGUCGCCAAAUGUGAGGUAACGGCUCUGUUAGAAGAAGACGUAACAGAGGUAACCUGGGUUUAAAAUGGACAAGUGGGCUGAAAUUAAUUCUUUGGGCCAAGUCAGUCUGAAUCUUAUAAUUGGUUUAUAUGACAAAGUUGACGAAGGUGUAAGCCCGACUGAAGUUAAAACGACUAAACCCCAAUCAACAUCGUAUUCACAGGAAGGGCGCCUUCGCAAUGAUAUCGCCUGUCGACUCAGAUAUCCAGACCGGUCCAAAAGGUUUCCUGAUCCCGAAAUCAAGCUCGAGCCGCUCAAAAUCUUCACCGGAAGUCCACAGCCCUAUCUUGACCUAGUUAACGUCGAUACUAUAACUCACAGUUUUCCCAUCUUAUUUCCUCCAUUGGAAGUUGUUUCUCCGGAAUCUCAUCGCUCUAGCAGCUUGUUCCUACAUGGUAUCCGUCUUCAAGAAUCUGUAGCGGGCAUUAAGACCCUACACCUUCACAACAAUAUUUCCUCUAAGAGACGAUCAAAGAAAGGGUAUAAGUCAAAGCAAAGUGAAAACCAAAAAUCUAUAGAGAAAAAUUCUUCAGUUGCAAGGUGUCAAGUUGGGAGUGAUGAGGCAAAUAACUUUGAGAAAGUUAAAGUUCAUAAAUACACCAUGGGAGCCGCAAUAUCUGAGUUCAACCGUCAUCCCUUAACUGCCAUUGAAUUUCUGAAAUCAAAUGGUUGGGUGGAGAAUACACUAGUUUCAAUUGUCCAAUUUCUUAGAAAUACCCCAAGCUUAGACAAGGCAAUAAUUGGUGACUACUUGGGUCAACACAAAGAGUUCUUCCUUGCGGUAUCGUAUGCUAAUGUUGACUCUAGAAGGUUUCUGAAAUGAAAUUUCAUACUGCAAUGGGUAGAUUUCUUAGAGGUUUCUGUCUUCCUGGUGAAGCAUCGAAGAUAGAUAUAAUGGAAAAUAUUGCAGACUGUUACUGUGCAGGUCAUCCCAUUUUUUUUUGAAUUAAACCUUGGAGAAUCUACACCAACAGAGCUUCUAGACAAAAUAAAAAUAAAUGUUGAUGAGCGUGGUAAGAAAAUUGAUCUGCAAAUGAACAUACUAGAAUUAACAUCUAGACUUGUAUCUCGUCUCAUUGAAGGCAUAGCUCAAAAUACAACCGUGAGCAUAUAUUUUCAUGAGGAUGGUGGGAACGUUGGGGAAUCUGGAUUCCAAACAGAGAAAGCUAUACUUCAAAAAGGUGCUAGUAACAAACGAGUAUGUGUUUGUGGGGUAGUCUUAUCUGAGAAGCUUAAGGAGGAGAUUAUACUGAAGAAAAUGAAGGAUCAGGUGUAUGAAAGUGAUUGCUUACAGGAGGGAGAUCUCAAUUAUGUAGGUAACCUGACAAAACAUAGAGUAGUUAAAGUGGGACAAGUGUGUAGAUAUAAGUAUUGUUAUGUUAUUGCCUUUGGUGUGGCUGAUUUGCUUGAUCACCAUAUCAUGAAGAGUGAGAUCGUUGAGAAGAUAUGGAAUGGUUGGGGUGUUCUUUCUGUGGAAAAAGCUACUACCCAAGCAAUUGAGAAGACAAUUCUAAUGAAAAUGAGUAAGAAAGAUGCCAAUAUAAGCAAUGAGAAGCUACAAGAACAGUGGAAAGUUAUGUCUGUGUUGGAAGCCGUGCAUUGCAUCCUUCUAUCCUUUCACCUUGAGGACAAGGUUCAUCUUUUGGGAUGGGGUAUUGCUAUGCCUUUAGUCAAGCUCAAGAAGGCGGAUGGCUCUAAUGACCAUUACUUGCCCCCAUGUUUGAUUACUAAUGAGAUGGGGAAGACUGAUGUUAAAGCUGUUAAGAUGAUCAUGGGNAAAUGGAAGAAGUUAGAAAAUUAAACCAAGAAUGUUAUGAGUGGCUUAAACAAAUACCACCUCAACAUUGGGCACGUUCUCAUUUUACAGGUUUGACCAUGUUAUAUAUUAUAAUAUAUGAUAACUAUUGUUGUAUACUUGUUAUGCACCCACUCUGGUCACCUUAUUUUAGAGAAAGGGUAGUUUGGGGUAAUCAUCAAAUAAAGAGCAUCUUGUUGGUACAGGGGCAUUAUGGGUAUUUUAUAUUAUUUAGUUGUUAUGACUGAUAGUAUAAGAGGGUAGUGGGAUAGGAAUUGAGAUAUCGAUCUUUUCUGUUAAACCUGGAAUUAUUUCCUCUUGGGAGAGUGGCUAUCUCGAAUCAGCUAACCUAUCCUUCGUUCUUGUAAUCUUUUGGCUAUUAUACAAUGUUUCCAAUCAAUAUUAGAAUCAUUGGGUAGUUUUUAUGUUAUUGAAUCUGUUAUUACAAAUCAGUUCAUAACAUACCCAUUCAUUAAGUAAUGGGGAUAAAGCCACUUCAUAAAUAGAGAAAAGGAAAUUUAGGAUACAAAAGACGAAAAUGCCCUUUACCCAGAUUUGACAUAUUGUAGAAGUCUUUUGGUUGUAAU
rnacentral:lncRNA from 1 species